rnacentral:lncRNA from 1 species
UGAAACAUGUAGCUCAUAUUACUCAGGUGAGCGAUCCAGGGUCAUCAUGACCCUCUUGUGAUAAAUUUAUUCAUAGUUUAAUUCAAAGAAGAAAGGACAGACCGCUUCGUUUAUUGAUUUAUCAAAGAUGAUUAAGAACUGGAAGCGAAAAAUUAUAUGACCGUGUUGACAUUUCGAUAAAGGAUAACCUCCAGCAGUAAGAGAUAUAAAGGUUCACUGCAGUUUUGACUAUGUCCAGCAAGUAUUGUGCCCAUACUAUUCUCAGCAAGUAGGGUCCUUGUAUUUUAAGCCAACACAUAAAUGCAGAUUCUUUGGAGUUGCUGCGAAUCCUCAUGCAGAAUGUCUUCUGCAUGACCUGGUAUGGUAUUCUUGAAGGAUUGUAACUUCAACACAGAGACGGAGAUUAAUAUUUUCAGGCAGGGGUGAUGUGCAGAUCUUCUAUGAUAGUUACUAUGGUUACCAAGUUCCCAUUUAAAGAUACUACCCUUCAGUCACUGAGCUUCCUGAAACCAGACCGAAGGGAUACUGUCUCACCUGAAGAAGUUGCCAUCUGUUUGUCUGGUUUGUUAGUGUUUCCCUGGUUGAUGAGUAUGAAGGUUAACUUAAUGAACUGACCAAACCAGAUCAACUAGAGACAUACUGGGCAUCUAUCGGGGAAGUGAAGGUCCACACUGGAAAGGAGAGGUGUCUUGAACUGAGUAAGAUGGCUUUACUUCUCCUGUCACUACCGCACUGCAAUGCUGAUCCAGAGCCGUCCUUCAGCCUACUGAGGAAGAUACAGGCUGACAACAGGAACAACCCAGCUCUGGAAACCAUUCAGAACUUGAUGUCUGUGAAAAUGAACUAUCACUCUAUAUGUUCAACAUUCUCUUCAUCUCAUGAACUUAUUAGAUAGGAAAAGUCAGCGUAUAAUGUAUACAUUCGUAAGUGAAGACAGCAUAAACAAUGUGUUACUUCUUGAAAUACUAAAUUGUGCUUUUAGUAUUUUAGUAUCUAUAGUUAAUUGGAGAGAACUCUAGUGAUUUGUAUUCAUUGUGAUAUCUGGAUAAGAUAGAACAAAAGAUAAUAUAAAAUUUUGAUUUUGUCUCUAAAAUUGUGUUUUUUGCUCGACAUUAUGAAGUAUAUGGAGAGCUAUCCUACUCACCCCAGCGUCAGCGUCCUGAUCAGGAGAUGACCCCUAUUGAUGUUGAGGUCAGCAGGUCUAAGGUCAA